rnacentral:lncRNA from 1 species
UUAGAUAGUCCUCUGAAUUUAGAUAUAAUUUAUUUUACACAUGACGUCAUUUGAGGUAGUAUACUACAGUCCUAACCCUCUGACAAAUUCUGCUUCACUAGAUGCUCCAAAGAACACCUCAGUGUCAGUCAGUCCCUCUGGUGAAAUAGUGGAGGGCAGUUCAGUGACUCUGACCUGCAGCAGUGAUGCCAACCCACCUGUGGACAAAUACACCUGGUACAAGAAGAACGUAACCUCACCAAAAGCAUCAGGACAGAGUUACAGCAUCACUAACAUCAUCUCUGAGGACAGAGGAGAAUACUACUGUGAGGCUGAGAAUACAAUAGCACCUAAUAACUCUACAGCUCUGAUGAUCAUUGUAGCAGGUAAAGUUUAAUCUUUAAUACCUCAAUACAAAAUUACUUUUCAAGAUAUAUCUUAAUAAUUAUACUUUAGAUUAUUACACUUUUGUUUAUAACUACAGGUUUAUUUAUAAAAUCCCCAAGUAUUAACAAGUAUUAUAUUGAUAUUCUAUUUUAUUAUUCUAAUAAUGUUCAGUUCAUUAGAACAUGCUGUGUACCCAUAUUAAUACAUAUUUUAUUUUAGGGAAACAGACCUCAGUUCUGACUGCAGCUGUAGGAAUCAUAGUGGUUGUUCUGGUUCUCAUCCUCUGUCUCUCUGGACUCAUGUGGUUCAGGUGAGUUUUUUUGUUGUUUAUUAUUUCACUUUAGAAGAUUAAUUAAUUAAUUCAUUUAUAAAAACAGGAAGAAAGCCUCCAAAUCCCCCUCUGACACAAUAGACACAUCAGACGAUGGACAGGGAGACUCUAGUCCAGUGUAUGACAACAUCUCAAGCAUGGCCAUGACCCCUACUGCAGCACAGACAGCAGCCACAGACGACCAGGAUGAUGUUCACUACGCCAGCGUCCACUUCUCUCACUCCAAAAACCAGGAUGUUCCUCUGUACUCCACCGUCCAACUGCCUCAGCCCCAGAAACAGGAUGAGGAUGUCCAGUACGAUGCUGUGAAAUUCAACUUCCCCAGUGCUGCUACCCGACCUGCAGCAGCACAAUCAGCUGAGGAGGACUCCUCUGUUCUCUACAGUACAGUCAACAAACCCAGAACCAAGAAGACCCAAACACAACAAACCCAGAACCAAGAAGACCUGAACAUAACAAACCCAGAACCAAGAAGACCUGAACACAACAAACCCAGAACCAAGAAGACCUGAACACAAUAAACCCAGAACCAAGAAGACCCAAACACAACAAACCCAGAACCAAGAAGACCCAAACACAACAAACCCAGAACCAAGAAGACCUGAACACAACAAACCCAGAACCAAGAAGACCUGAACACAACAAACCCAGAACCAAGAAGACCUGAACACAACAAACCCAGAACCAAGAAGACCUGAACAUAACAAACCCAAUAGACCUGAACACAAUAAACCCAGAACCAAGAAGACCUGAACACAACAAACCCAGAACCAAGAAGACCUGAACAUAACAAACCCAGAACCAAGAAGACCUGAACACAACAAACCCAGAACCAAGAAGACCUGAACACAACAAACCCAGAACCAAGAAGACCUGAACACAACAAACCCAGAACCAAGAAGACCUGAACACAACAAACCCACAACCAAGAAGACCUGAACACAACAAACCCACAACCAAGAAGACCUGAACACAACAAGUUUGACACAAACCUUGUAUAUCUGGACCUGUAUAUUUAAACUAAGUGACAUAAAGCCUGAGGAGGUGUGGAAUAUUGACCAUUAUAAACCGGGUGGUUUGAGCCCUGAAUGCUGAUUAGCUGAAAGGCAUGAUAUAUCAGACCGUAUACCAUGGGUAUUAACAUUUGAAUUUACAUUGGUAACCAGUUUAAAAUAAGGCACCUCUGGGUUUGUUGUAUGUGGCCAAUAUACCACGGCUAAGGGCUUCAUCCAAGCACUCCGUGUUGCGUCGUGCAUAAGAACAGCCCUUAGCCGUGUUAUAUUGGCCAUAUACCACACCUCCUCUGGCCUUAUUGCUUAAGUUUAUCAAGGCAAUAAGGCACUUCUGGGGUUUGUGGUAUAUGGCCAACAUACUGUACCACGGCUUAUUUUAAACUAGUUACCAACAUAAAUAGAACAGUAAACAAGUAUUUUUACAUCAUAUCCGUGGUAUAUUGUCUGAUAUACAAAAUAGACUUCUGAAAUGCUGUUUCAGCCAAUCAGCAUCCAGGACCCAAACCACUCAGUUUAUAAUAGUAUAUAAUAAUAUAUGCCAUUUAUUAAACACUUUUAUCCAAAUUCCCUGUCAUUACAGUCAUGCAUGAAUACUUUUUUGAUAUGGGAAGUCCCAGCAGGAAUGGAACCAAAGCGCCAUGAUGUACAAACUGAGCCACACAAGACUACUCUAUUCAAACUUAGAGUAGGAGUUCUGAUCUAGGGUCAGUUAUGACUUUGAAACAAUGAUGAAUAAGAAAGGGACCUUAACAUUUUUUAAAUAUAUUUUUAAGUUGAAAAAUGUUGUAUUUCUGACGUAGGCAACCUUGUGUUCCAGUUAUAUGUUACAGAGCAUUCGGAAAGUAUUCAGACCACUUGACUUUUUCCACAUUUUGUGAUGUUACAAACUUAUUCUCAAAUUUAUGAAAUUGUUUUCUUUCCUCAUCAAUCUACAAACAAAACCCAAAAAUGAUGAGCCAAAAAGGUUUUUAGACAAUUUUGCAAAUGUAUAAAUAAAAAAACUGCAAUAUCAGAUUUACAUAAGUAUUCAGACCCUUUAAUCAGUACUUUGUUGAAGCACCUUUGGCAGUGAUUACAGCCUCGAGUCUUCUUGGGUAUGACGCUACAAGCUUGGCACACCUGUAUUUGGGGAGUUUCUCCCGUUAUCUACAGAUCCUCUCAAGCUUGGUCAUGUUGGAUGGGAAGCGUCGCUGAACAGAUAUUUUCAGGUCUCUCCGGAGAUGUUCGAUCAGGUUCAAGUCCGGGCUCUGGCUAGGCCGCUCAAGGACAUUCAGAGAUUUCUCCUGAAAGCCACUACUGCAUUGUCUUGGCUGUGUGCUUAGGGUCCUUGUCCUAUUGGAAGCUUGAACCUUCGCCCCAGUCUGAGGACCUGAGCCCUCUGGAGCUAGUUUUCAUCAAGGAUCUCUCUGUACUUUUCUCCGUUCAUCUUUCCCUCGAUCCUGACUAGUCUCCCACUCCCUGCCGCUGAAAAACAUCCCCACAGCAUGAUGCUGCCACCACCAUGGUUCACUGUAGGGAUGGUGCCAGGUUUCCUCCAGAUGUGACGCUUGGCAUUCAGGCCAAAGAGUUCAAUCUUGGUUUCAUCAGACCAGAGAAUCUUGUUUCUCAUGGUCUGAGAGUCUUUAGGUGCCUUUUGGCAAACUCCAAGCAGGCUUUCAUGUGCCAUUUACUGAGGAGUGGCUUCCGUCUGGCCACUCUACCAUAAAGGCCUGAUUGGUGGAGUGCUGCAGAGACGGCUGUCCUUCUUGAAGGCUCUCCCAUCUCCACAGAGGAACUCUGGAGCUCUGACAGAGUGACCAUCGGGUUCUUGGUCACUCUUGGAAGAGUCUUGGUGGUUCCAAACUUCUUCUGUUUAAGAAUGAUGGAGCCCACUGUGUUCUUGGACCUUCAAAACUGCAGAAAUGUUUUGGUACCCUUCCCCAGAUCUGUGCCUCAGCACAAUCCUGUCUUGGAGUUCUAAAGACAAUUCCUUCGACCUCAUGAUUUUUGCUCUGACGUGCACUGUCAACUGUGGGACAGUAUAUAGAUAGGUGUGCCUUUCCAAAUCAUGUCCACUCAAUUGAAUUUACCACAGGUGAGCUCCAAUCAAGUUGUAGAAGCAUCUCAAGGAUCCUUCACAGAAACGGGAUGCAGCUGAGUUCAAUUUCGAGUCUCAUAGCAAAAGAUCUGAAUACUUAUCUAGAUAGGGUAUUUCUGUUUUUUAUUUUUAAUACAUUUGCAAACCUUUCUAAAGUCCUGUUUUUGCUUUGUCAUUAUGGGAUAGUGUGGUAUAUUGAGGAUUUAUUUUUAUUUAAUCUAUUUUAGAAUAACGCUGUAACGUUUCAAAAUGUAAAAAAAGACAAGGGGUCUAAAUACUUUCCGAAUGCAUUGUAUAUAAUUGUAUAUAAUGACCACCUUAAAUGGAACAAGUAGUGUGCGACUGUGGAUAUUGGAACGAGACCAUUAACAGUUCAGUGAUUUUCUACACAUACACUGAGUAUACCAAUCAUUAAGAACACAUUCCUAAUAUUGAGUUGCAACCCCCACUAUUGCCCUCAGAACAGCCUAAAUUCACCAGGGCAUAGCUCUACAAGGUGUCAAAAGCGUUCCACUGGGAUGGUGGCCCAUGUUGACUCCAAUGCUUUGUACAGUUGUGUCAAGUUGGCUGGAUGUCCUUUGGGUGGUUGACCAUUCUUGAUACACACGGGAAACUGUUGAGCAUGAAAAACCCAGCAGCUUUGCAGUUCUUGACACAAACCGGUGCGCCUGGCACCUACUACCGUACCCUGUUCAAAUACACUUAAAUCUUUUGUUUUACCCAUUCACCCUCUGAAUGACACACAUACACAAUCCAUGUCUCAAGGCUUAAAAAUCCUUCUUUAACCUGUCUCCUCCCCUUCAUCUACACUGAUUGAACUUUCUCAGUGGAAUAAUACAUGUCUGUUCAGUGGACUAAUACAUGUCUGUUCAGUGGACUAAUACAUGUCUGUUCAGUGGACUAAUACAUGUCUGUUCAGUGGACUAAUACAUGUCUGUCCAGUGGACUAAUACAUGUCUGUUCAGUGGACUAGUAAUGUAUGUUUAGUGGACUAAUACAUGUCUGUUCAGUGGACUAAUACAUGUCUGUUCAGUGGACUAAUACAUGUAUGUUCAGUGGACUAAUACAUGUAUGUUCAGUGGACUAAUACAUGUAUGUUCAGUGGACUAAUACAUGUAUGUUCAGUGGACUAAUACAUGUCUGUUCAGUGGACUAAUACAUGUCUGUUCAGUGGACUAAUACAUGUAUGUUCAGUGGACUAAUACAUGUCUGUUCAGUGGACUAAUACAUGUCUGUUCAGUGGACUAAUACAUGUCUGUUCAGUGGACUAAUACAUGUCUGUUCAGUGGACUAAUACAUGUCUGUUCAGUAGACUAAUACAUGUCUGUUCAGUGGACUAAUACAUGUAUGUUUAGUGGACUAAUACAUGUAUGGUCAGUGGACUAAUACAUGUAUGUUCAGUGGACUAAUACAUGUCUGUUCAGUGGACUAAUACAUAUAUGUUCAGUGGACUAAUACAUGUCUGUUCAGUGGACUAAUACAUGUAUGUUCAGUGGACUAAUACAUGUCUGUUCAGUGGACUAAUACAUGUAUGUUCAGUGGACUAAUACAUGUAUGUUCAGUGGACUAAUACAUGUAUGUUCAGUGGACUAAUACAUGUCUGUUCAGUGGACUAAUACAUGUAUGUUCAGUGGACUAAUACAUGUCUGUUCAGUGGACUAAUACAUAUAUGUUAAGUGGACUAAUACAAUUGAAGUUGACUAAAGUGACAAUAUGAGGAGUACAGAAUGACUGA